GGGCUAUAACACGCGAAAGUAAUGAAUGUAUUAUACGUGCUGAGGAUAGAGAGGUGCGGGCUAUAACACGCGAAAUUAAUGAAUGUAUUUAUAUGUGCUGAGGAUAGAGAGGUGCGGGCUAUAACACGCGAAAUUAAUGAAUGUAUUGAUACGUGCUGAGGAUAGAGAGGUGCGGGCUAUAACACGCGAAAUUAAUGAAUGUAUUUAUACGUGCUGAGGAUAGAGAGGUGCGGGCUAUAACACGCGAAAUUAAUAAAUGUAUUGAUACGUGCUGAGGAUAGAGAGGUGCGGGCUAUAACACGCGAAAU
rnacentral:lncRNA from 1 species